UAAAGGUUAUGUAGUUCUCACGUUUAUUUUUGCACGCACCACAUUUUUAUUUUAAUAAAAAAAUAACAAAACAGUACAAAAGUGAUGAACAACAAAAUAUUUAGUUGAAAUAUUUGUAAUAAAUAGUAUUCAAAAUGAAAACUAAACCUUUGCGGCAUAAAGAAACAAAUACUUUUAAGUUUAAACCCUUUUCGGAAAGGGUGACACAAAUCGAUGUUGACGUAUUUCAUCGAGUGUCACAUCGUUAUGAAGAUGACACCGAGGAAGAAACACACUUCUAUCAAGCACUCCAAAAAUGGAAUGUCCUUAAUCUUUCGGAAAUUUAUGGCAGUCUGAAGAAAGAAUUCAGAAAUAUAAUUACUUUACCUCAAUUGCUAAACAGUCAGCAACAUGUACUCGACACGCUCCUGAAAUAUUUGAAAUUGAAAGAUCCUCUUUGCCUACAGACUGUUUUAGAAUUAAUUGUCGCAGUAUCGAGAGAUUUACAGAAAGAAUUCUGUCAACAUUUUCCCGAAUUUCUAACAGCAAUUAUCGAUCUUCUGUGGACGAAAGAUGCCGAUCAACUUGAGUACACUUUUACGACACUCGCCUAUUUAUUCAAAUUCCUAUGGCGUUAUUUAAUUCGUAACGUAGACAAAAUUUUUAAUUUACUUCUACCACUUUUAUCCGAAUCGCGACCACACUACAUUAAUAAUUUUGCCGCCGAAAGUUUCUCCUUUGUCGUAAGAAAAGUUAAGGACAAGGAGAAUUUUCUCAAAUUAGUUUUAAAUGCUCUGGAAGAAACGCCAAAUGGUGUCUCAGGUUGUGGAAAAUUAUUAUUUGAAGUCAUUUCAUCAAUCUCCGGUCAAUUUCAUUCAUGUGCCGAGGAAUUAUUAACCCUUUAUUUCGAAUCACUCGAAAAUGAAGAAUUAAAUCAACAACUUCUCUAUAAAGUCUUAAUCGAAAUCAUCAACAAUAUGCAAGCAAUAAAUUACAAAAAAUCCGAUGUUUUAUGGACAGUUAUUUUACGAAUCAUGGACAAAUUUAUAGAACAACAUUCGACAUACAAGAAAUCGUCCGAAAGAGAAGAUCCAUUGAUUCUAAUUCUCCGACUCAUGUUUCAAUUGAUCCAUCAAAGAGGUGGGAGAAUUGUAAAAGAUCCCUUGAAUCUAGCCCGAAAAUUAGCAGACGUAAUCACUACUUUCGAAAAGAAUCCCCUAAUUUUAGAAGAGAUUCUCAAAAAUUCGACAGAUUUGCUACUCGCUCCCUGCGUUACUAUUAGUCAAGAGACCGGAAGUUAUUUGACACUGAAAAUUCUCUCCAUUCAAUACACUGAAUUGUUGCUCAAUACAAUUGAACAAUUAAUUUCAUUUUCGUCCUUUGAAUCACUGAUAUUACCGCGUUUGAUGAAAAUGAACAUUGAAAUGGAAUUCAAGCCUAAAUACCUACGUUUGUUGUCCAAAAUUAUUAAAAUCAAAGCUCCUCCUUCGUUACGUGGAAACAAUCUUCAAAAUUGGCGAAAGUUUCCCCUGAACAUUCAGGAAAAAACUUUGGAAAUUGAUUAUCUAAGGAAAAAAUUACAAAAUUUCACACAAGAACCAACGAACGAGGCAAUACAUAUUUUGCUAAUUCUUCCCCAUUUGUGUCCACUUCAUAAGGAUCUCGAUUCUGCUUUAUGUGAAAUUAUCCUAAAUCUGUAUAAAAAACUUGAUGAUGAAACAAAUCUCAAUUUAGAAUUAAUACAAAAAUUCUCGUUUCUCUUCCUGUUGGCACUCGACUCUAUGAUUCAUAUAAAAAAUCCCGAUUUAACUCUCAAAUUUUUGUCAAAAACAAAUCUCGUGAAAUUGACCCAAAUGUACAAAAAUCAACCAUCGAUAUUAAAUUCCCUGGAUCUUGUCUUGACCCACGUAAACGAAUCCCAAUCGAGGGGCGAAUUAAUCAACGAAACGACCUUUGAAAGUUUACAUCAAUUUUUAGCGGAAAAUUUACGAUCAGAAAAUCCACGAAUUCGCCUAACAGUGGCGCACAUUUUCUACCUGUUCAAUCAAAACGGUAACAAAAAUGUCUUCGAACUUAUUUACCUAGCCGAGAAUGAACCAGCAACUGUUCACAAAUAUCGAGAAAAAUUGUUGCAUCUUCAAGCUAUAAAUUUCGACGGUCAAGCAUUGAAUUCCUUGGAUCCGUCUUAUUACGACAUACCACUGAAUUAUCUAAUUGGCAAUUUUUAUUUAAAUUUCUCCCUCAUCUGGGAACCUUGCGGCAAAAUUCUAGCCACUUACGCCAAUAAACAAUGCCCUCAAUUUUGGCCAAUUUUCCUCUCGCAAUUAAAAAUGGAAAACAACAUUCCACCUUUCUAUAAGACAACAAUCAAUUGCGACGUAAUCACGUCGUUGGAAAACGAAAUUUGUGUCAGUGAGGAAAAAAUUGAUUUCGAUAAUUACAGACUACAAUUGUGGAAGUCGAUGGAGAAUUUCACGGAUUAUUGCGAGACGAAGAAUCGCGAUUUGACUGUGAUGUUUAUCGAUUUUGUGGAUAGAUUCGUUUUCAAGUCGAACAGUGAGGAUGGAAAGUCGUGUAACAUCGAGAAACGAGGGGAAAUCGAUGGAGAUGCAAAGGAGGAAGAAGAAGAGGAUGAAGACGAAGACACAAAAGAAGAAGAAGAUAAAGAAAAUGAGGAUCAAGAAAAAGAAGAAGAGAAAGAUGGAGAAAAAGAAGAAGAAAAAGUUGACAAAGAAGAUAAAAAUACAAAAGAGGAAAAUAAAGAAACCCAGCCAAACACAAAAAUAAAAAUAAAACUUCUCCUCGCUCAAAUGCAAAUAUUCAGCAAAGUCGUAAAUCCAAAAUCACUCUACCGCGAAACGGAAAUGAGUAAAAUUUAUCUCGAUUUACUCUCAUCGAAAAAUGCCGAAAUUCAAAAAGCCGCUCUAAAUUGUCUCUUCGCCUACAAACACAAAUACCUAAUUCCCUAUAAAGAACACUUAAGCAAUUUUGUUGACGAGAAACAAUUAAAAAACCAACUAACCCACUUUAAAAUCACCAAUGACGAAAGUAUGAUCGACAAUGCACAUCGCGACGAUUUAUUUCCAAUUCUUAUGCGAAUAAUUUACGCAAAAAUGACAACACGCGUGGGAAUGAGGACAGGCGGUAAAUCCGGUGGUCUUCAUCGUCGUAAAAUGAUUCUUCGCUUUCUCGCCGGCGCCGAGGAAAAGGAAAUGUUCACCUUCGUUCAAAUGGCCUUCAAACCCUUCCUCAAUCAAUUACUACCAAUUGUCGAGCAAACCAAUAAUCUCAACAAUUUUAUCCAACAAAUAAUCGAAAAUGUCGAUCUCAAAAAUGUCACACCACCAAAACGUUUACAAAGUGCCGUGAAUCUUCUCGCAAUUCUAAUCGAACAAUUCGGUGGCAAAAUGAUGGAUAAACUACUCCCUCAUCUUCUUCGUAUCUUACUUACAAUUUUAGCCCAAAUUACUGGUAUCGUUCAAAAACUCACUACCGUCCACUCUGGUUUUCUGUCCUCAAUAAAAAAUAUCCGAACCACUUCACUCAAUAUUCUAGCGAGAUUUUUCAUUCAUUUCGAAAAUUACAAUUGGACAAGUGACGAAAUUGAUGCUUUAUUCACUGUCGGCGUGUUUCCUUGGUUAGAGAAACUUCCCAUUGAGGGAAUUCACAGUCCCACUCCGCUAUUGAAAAUAUUCCUCGCCUGGAGUCAAAAUUCACGCUACUUUGCCCUACUCGUCAAGCACCAGGAGAAAGAUUCAACAUUCAUGCCACUGGUAUUCAUCGUCCGUUUACUAUUACACCCGAAGGCGCAUUCAUCAGUGACGAACACAAUUCUAGAAAUACUGGAGAAAUUACUAACUCUGGAGAAUCAUGAAAAAAAUCCCCACUCAAUGGAAAUUGACAAUCCAGUCGAAUCACUGAAUUCAAUCGCCUCGAAUAUUUUGCAAAUCGACGACGACACAUUGCCAAAGGGAAUAAAUUACGGUUCAUCAAUUCUCCUACCACACGUUCCCGACAUUUUGGAAUUCAUGCGAAGAAAAUUGGAGAGAAGCAAAAAAUUCAACAAGAGCGUGAAAAAGACGGAUCUCACCAUUCUUUCCCGAAUUUCGGAAUUUAUCACCAACAGCGAGACGAGUGGGACCCUCCUAGAAUUGUUGGUCCCGAUUCUUGUCAAAAAAUCCAACCUUGGCGAAUCCGAAGACAUUCUAAUCGAUCUCUUAACGACAAUAACGAACCUCUGCCAAAAAGUCGAAAACCCCGGGGCGCACGUAAGAAUAAUUAUCCCUCUGAUUGGUUCAAUUUCUUCUGUUCCAGCCAGAAAGGAUCUAACCAAAUUAUUCAAUAUCAUCGCCCAUAGAUCGUCUUCCAGGGAAAUGAUUUCCGAAUUCAAUUUACUAGCCCAACUGAACGCCUACGACUCGAAAUGGCUCGAUCAACCGGACUUCGAAAAGAGACUAGACACUUUCGCGAAAAUAAAAAAUCUCCUGGAGGAAAAUUCCCUCUCCCUCGAAUUCGGCGUCGCCGUCAUUUACAACUGCUUCUUCUUUCUAAAGAAUGACAACGAUCUCGCAGUUCGUUACAGUUCCACCGAAACAAUGAAACUAAUCAGCAAACACCUAGCCAAAAGUCAUAAGGAAAAUCCCAUUAAUCGACGAUACUUAAUCGAGGACACGAUUCUGGGGAUUAUCCGCAAGAACCUAAGAUCGAAAAACGAGAAACUUCGUCUGGAACUAAUAUCAUUUUUAGGUUUCAUGGCCCUCGAGUGCUCGGACGUUCAUCCAGUUCUCCGAGAUCUCUCCCUCCUCGCCAACAAAUUGGACCCAGAAGUCGAUUUCUUCGAGAAUCUCCAACAUCUACAACUGCAUCGAAAAGUUCGUGCUCUUUUGAAAUUCUCCACCGUAGCGAAGACUUUGAACAAAGCCCCAAAUCCAAAAACUCUCACACAAUUUAUUCUCCCGCUCGCGUCGUCAUAUCUACUGAACGAGGAUUUCCUCAACAAGAAUUCAAUCGUCGACGCUGCGAUCGAAGUCGUCGGGAGCGUUUGCAGACUCCUGCCUUGGCACCACUACGAAAUCGUCCUCAAAUUCUACCUCGACAAAAUGAGACACUCCCACGAUUUCCACAAACAACUUAUCAAAAUAAUAGUCGUUAUUCUCGACGCUUUUCACUACGAUCUCUCCAAGUAUAAAGAAGUCACCAUUGAGGAGAAAUUGAAACAAAUCCAGGAGGACGAGAAGGAAAAGAAAACGAGUGCUUUGGAGAAAUUACAAGGGGAAAAUUCGGAGGAAAUUCUCGAGGAGCUGAAAGAGAAGGACGAGAAGGAGGAGGAGGAGGAAAAUUUAGAAGAUGCUUUGGAAAAGUUGGAAGCAGAAGACGAAAGAGAAAACGAAGGAGAAAACGAAACAGAAAACGAAAGAGGAACUAAAAAGGGAAUCAAAAGAAAAAUCGAAAGAGGAAUCGAAAGAGAAACAGAAGCAGAAACAAAUCAAGUUCCACUAUUCGAGAAGCAAACAAUCCUCUCGAGUUACGUAUCAAAAAGACUAAUUUUCAGCAUUUCUCGCAUCUUCCUGCCGCAACUGAACCGAGCAAUCGUCGCUCGAACGCAACACGAGAACAGCCACAAGGUAAAUCGAAAAAGAACCUCCUUCGAUCGUGAGGAGGAAGAACUAAUGCGAGUCCCCGUCGCUCUCGCCUUCGUCAAACUCCUGCAGAAACUCCCCGAGUCAAUGCUCGAUUCCAAUUUACCCGGAAUAUUCAUGAAAAUCUGCACAUUCCUAAAAUCCCGCCUCGAGUCAGUGCGAAGAACAACCAGAGAAGUCCUGCAAAAAAUCAUGAUCACCCUGGGUCCCGCUUACCUUCACUAUUUACUCCGCGAAAUGAACACCCUCCUCACAAAAGGUUUCCAAAUUCACGUUCUCGUUUUCACAAUUCAAACCGUCUUGGUCUCACUCAAACCCCACUUGGAACCAACUCACGUCAACAAAACUCUCACCAGUAUCCUCUCCGUCUGCAAAAUCGACCUCUUCGGACUGACCGCCGAGGAGAAGGAAGUCGCUGGAAUAAUAAAAAAUGUCUCCGAGGCAAAAUCGACCAAGAGUUACGAUAUCUUUCACAUUCUAGCGGAAUUCAUCAACGAAACUUGUUUGAUUGACAUCAUAAUGCCGUUGAAGGAGGUUUUAUUGAAUUCCCACUCGAGUAAAAAAUUACACAAAGUCGGCGAGUGUUUGAGACAAAUUUGUCUCGGAUUAGCUGACAAUAGAUUCAUAGAGGUUCAUUCGAUGACAAUAUUUCUCUAUGGUAUUGUUUCUGAAAGUAUUCCCGAUCUUUUGCCGAAAAAAUUGAAGGAGACAACAGCAACGGAGAAAGAAAUUAAGGCACGAGCUUUCAAGAGACCGGAUAUUUUCCUCAUUGCACCGGUGCCAAAGAGACGAACCUGCGAGAGAACAAUGGCGAAAACAACUGAAAAUGCGAAUGCACACUUUUUAAUUGAAUUCGGUCUGAGAUUGUUGCACAUUUUUUUGAAACGAGACAAAUUUUUGGGUUCCGAUUUCAAGCCACUUUUGAAUCCAUUUGUUGGAAUUUUAAACGACAGUCUCAAGUCUCAACAUGUUAAGAUAUGCACAUUAAGUUUGCAGUGCCUGAACUGGAUACUAAAAAUGGAUCUCCCAGCGGUACAUGAAUUAAUUUCCGAAAUUUGCGCCUCGAUAUUCAAAAUUCUUCACAAAUAUGCGGUUGCCGAUUUGAGUAAAGGCGACAAUUACGAUCUAGUGAUGUCAGCUUUCAAAUGCGCCUCAGUAAUUGUUCGGGAUGUGAAACAUUUCACAAUAAAUGAGGAACAAUUAAAACUACUGAUACUCUACGUCGAGCAAGAUCUUCACGACAGUGAAAAGCAAGCCACCGCUUACGGUCUCCUAAGAGCAAUCAUAAGUCGUAAAAUGAUUGUACCCGAAAUGCACGAGGUAAUGAAAAAAGUAUCAACUCUCAUCGUCACAUCGGAAUUGGAUCACGUGAAACAGCAAUCGCGACAAAUUUUCUAUUCCUAUCUAGUCGAUUAUCCAUUGGGGAAAAAAAUUCAAGAACAUUUGGAAUUCUUUGUCGCUCAAUUGUCCUUUGAAUUGCAACCAGGACGAAUGAGUGUUUUGGAAAUGCUACACAAUAUUGUCAAGGGUUUUCCCUUAAAAGUUCUCAUGAAGCAAGCUGUCUAUUUAUUUGUUGCGAUUGGUAUUCGAAUUAUCAACGAUGAUGAUCCAGAAUGUCAGAAACUUUGCGCAAAAUGCAUUCAAGAUAUGUUGGAGAGACUGUCAAAUAAUAAACGAAAUGAGCUUUUUGAUAUUGUUACUUUAUCGUUAAAGGAUAAAAAAAUGAUGCACCGAAGUUUAGCCGUUCAACUUUGUGGUCUUUUCGUUUUAGUCGAGAAGGAAAAAUUCGAACGAAGAUUAAAUGAUUUAUUACCACUUAUUUUGAAACAAUUUUACUCCAACGAUAUCGAUGAAACAAAACCUGGACGUUUUGUGAAAAUUCAAAAAAAUGAAAAUGAAGACAACGAAGAAAAUGAGAAGGAUCAAGAAAAAUUAAGAGAUCAUCAUUUAAUUCGUCUCUUCCAUUUAUUGGUAAAAUUGUCCACCAAUUGCACCGCAUUUCUCAAGGACAAAAAAUUAAACGAUCAUAUUCAUUCCUUCGCUGAACAGAGUCAAUCGCUAUUGGCGCAUCCGCACUUGUGGGUUCGUUUGGGAGCUUGUCAAUUUUUGGAAUUUAUUCUCGCCACCAUUGACACUAAGAGAGUGGAGAAGCUUUUGAAAAAUCCAGACGACAAUGAAUCGGGAUAUAUUUAUUCGGAUCCAGUAAAUACUUUGAAGAGUUUAACUCUUGAUUUGAUUGCUCAAUUACAUCCGGAAAUGAAUGUGGAGGAAUUAUCGAAUCAAGUUGUAAAGAAUUUGGUCUUCAUUGCGAGACUGUUGAAAUCUUUAAAUCCAAGAUAUGAAAAGAGUGAAGAUAAUGAGGAGGCUGACAAAAGUAAUUCGUUAUCGCUUCUUUGGCUCGUGAAGAGAAUGAGAAGAUCUGUUAAUAUGGAAGUCACUCAAUCACCAAAAUUAAUUUGCGUUAGAAAUGCAGUUUUCAAAUGGAUUGCUGGAAUUGUGAGUACAAUACCAAUGGAUAUUUUGAGACCUCUUUUAUUCAAUUUGCUUUCGCCGUUGGUGCGAGAAAUGGCAACAACCGAAGAGUCGAAUGCUCCUUUACGUCAAUUGGCGAAAGAAAUUUCCGUGAUGAUAAAAAAGAGAUUGGAUAGUGAGGAAUAUAUUCAAUUGUUGAGUAAAGUUCAACAAAAAAUCGAUUCCAGGAAAACAGAGCGAAAGAAGAUACGUAAACAACAGGUAAUAACGGAUCCUGAAUUGGCGGCGAAACGAAAGAUUUCAAAACAACAAAAGAAGAAAGUUGCAAGGAAGAGGAAAAUCGAAUGUCUAAAGGGGAAGAAAGUUUCGCGAAAAAAACCACGAAGGGAAGUUGAUCUUGAGAUGGGAUGAGUUUAUAAUUAGAUAGAAAAAAAUUGUAUGUAUUUUUAUUUAUUCUUCGGAAUUUUGUACAUAAUAUACCUUUACCUUUAAAACAGACUCGCUCACAAUGGAACUUGAAAUUUACGUUACAAUCGACAAACGAAAUGAACAAUAAUUAACAUGAAGUGUAGGUUUUCGUUCCUUUCAAUUGUUUCUGAUUGGACGAAGAAGUUAAUGACUAGAAAUGACUAGAGAACCAUUUGCUAGCAUAGCCUGACAAGAAUAGUUCAUUUUCAUUAAAAGAAGAUCAAGAAUAAAUGAACAGUGCCGUGACUAUUUAUUGUUCUCUAUAAUUUUCCUUUAAUUUUCAUCUAAUUUCAAACGUUUUUUUUAAUUUUUGAAAAGAAAUUUUUUUUACCCUUUAGCUAAAAAAUGCCCAAUUGAAUAAAAAAUUCAAGAAUAAUAAUAAUCUCUUUUUUUUCAACGAUAAUAUAAAAUUAAUAAAAACUAUCUUUUCCUCAAGUAUAACUUUUUAUCUCCUAUAAGGAAGAAAUUUGAAUUCUGCAUUUAUCUUCAUUUCGUUAAGGGUCAAAAGUGAUAUCUACCGUUGAUAAUAGACGGAAAUAUUGUUACGGUACUGAAACGAUAAUGAAACUACAAACGAAUCCACGUAACUAAAUAAAAGAAUUACGAACACACAAGUCACUAGCACUUUCUAUAUAAUCGUUCAAAUUUAAUGGUGUCACAUUUCGCUCUUUGGAUUUUUAGAAUUUUAAUCUAAUAUUUCUUCUUUAAAUCUUUAGUGUUUUUUAAAAUUUUCUCCAUAAAUUGUAAAUUCAAUUCAUCAAUUUUCGACUAGAAUAAUUAUUAA